AAGUGGAACAUUUUCCUGGAGAUCUAAAAACAUAUCAGGAAAUACAUUUUUCAAAAACAUUGCCAGAGAUUCAUUUAUUGCAUGUUUGCUAUGAAGAGUGCCUGGCAUAUUGUGAAAAUUCAAUGAUCACUGAACUGAAAUGAAAGAACAAGAUUCACCGGUUUCCAGGAGAAAAAUCUCGAUUCUUUCUACCACUGCCGGUUCUGACCUGCAGGAGUGGUGUUUUUCCACCAGGUCUGUCUCUGGUCAGUCUCUGAGAGUUGUCUACAGGUAAGGGAAGCAGAACUGCACUAGAAGAAGCCUGUGCUGUGGAUGACUGCAUGGACCAGAGGAUUAUUUUGAUCAGAAUCUGACUAUGAAGAGACCUGAAGAAGCUACACCGUUGAUUCUGUUGCCUUCAAAUCAUCCAAGACAGAUGAUUCGUCUUUUCAGAUUUCCAGAGGAAAGUGGAUUUCAUAAGCUUGUGUAUUUAAUAACCCUGGAAAUGAGAAGUAUUAUUCUUUAUUUAAUUUCUCUGAGGUGCAUUUAAACUGUUUGCUUCCUUUUCUGAUUUUACUUGAGAUGAAUA